CCCCGAGUAGCUCAGCUGGAAGAGCGUUCGGCUGUAACUGCCCCUUCGUUACCGAAAGGUCACCUGUUCGAGCCAGGUCUCGGGGA
rnacentral:tRNA from 1 species